AAACUGUUGUUUUUUAUUGGUCUUCAUGAAAAAAAACAUAAGGGGUAACACUGUUGUCUUUGUGAAAUAUAAUAUAAGUCGUUUUUUAUUGGUCGUCAUGAAAAAAAACAUAAGGGGUAACACUGUUGUUUUUUAUUGGUCGUCAUGAAAAAAAACACAAGGGGUAACACUGUCGUUUUUAUCAAAUGAAGCGUAAAGGGUAACACUGUCGUUUUUUUAUCUGUUGUCAUGAAAAACCCAUCAGGGGUAACACUGUCAAAAUGUAUCGAAUAAAACAUAGGGGGUAACACUGUCGUUUUUAUCAAAUGAAACAUGAGGGGUGACACUGUCGUUUUUCUUUGGUCGUCAUGAAAAAAAACAUAAGGGGGUAACACUGUUGUUUUUUAUUGGUCGUCAUGAAAAAAAACAUAAGGGGUAACACUGUUGUUUUUGUCAAAUAAAUUAUAAGGGGUAACACUGUUGUUUUUUAUUGGUCGUCAUGAAAAAAAACAAGGGGUAACACUGUUGUUUUUUAUUGGUAUCAUGAAAAAAAACAUGAGGGGUAACACUGUUGUUUUUUAUUGGUCGUCAUGAAAAAAAACUCAAGGGGUAACACUGUUGUUUUUUAUUGGUCGUCAUGAAAAAAAACAUAAGGGGUAACACUGUUGUUUUUUAUUGGUAGUCAUGAAAAAAAACAUAAGGGGUAACACUGUUGUCUUUGUCAAAUAAAAUAUAAGGUGUAACACUCGUAUUUUAUUGGUCGUCAUUAAAAAAAACAUAUUUGAAAAAAAAAAAAAAAUGUCCUUGUCAAAUAAAAUAUAAGGGGUAACACUGUUGUUUUUUAUUGGUCGUCAUGAAAAAAAACAUAAGGGGUAACACUGUCGUUUUUUAGUGGUCGUCAUGAAAAAAAACAUAGGGGGUAACACUGUUGUUUUUUAUUGGUCGCAAUGAAAAAAAACACAAGGGGUAA
ensembl:lncRNA